UCGGCCUUAGUAGGUGAGGAGUAGUCCAAUAUAAUCUAAGAGGCUGAGUCCUUAAGUUUGUGGCCAUAGCAACGUAAUAAUAGAAAGAAGUUUUCAUGGAAUUCAUAAUUAGACUCAAGCUAAUAAAGUUUAGUAUAUGACAGAUGCUUAAGAUUUAAUGAGUUUCCAUGACUUGCAUCUUGUUGGGACCCUUGCUAGAAGAACUCAAUCAUAUGAUA
rnacentral:lncRNA from 1 species